UACGUAGGGGCCGAGCGUUGUCCGGAUUUAUUGGGCGUAAAGCGCGCGCAGGCGGCCUCGCGCGCCCGACGUGAAAGCCCCCGGCUUAACCGGGGAGGGUCGUUGGGGACGGCGGGGCUUGAGGGCGGGAGAGGGUGGUGGAAUUCCCGGUGUAGUGGUGAAAUGCGUAGAGAUCGGGAGGAACACCCGUGGCGAAGGCGGCCACCUGGGCCGACCCUGACGCUGAGGCGCGAAGGCGUGGGGAGCGAACGGG
rnacentral:rRNA from 1 species